AGCAUAGCGAUUUGGGAUAAGUCCCUUGGAAGAGGGCAGCAUGGAGGGUGAUACUCCCGUCUCUGCUCAGAUCUGUUGUGUGUACGAUACGCUUUCUUUGAGUCGAGUUGCUUGGGAAUGCAGCUCAAAGUAGGUGGUAAAUUCCAUCUAAAGCUAAAUAUAGGUGCGAGACCGAUAGCGAACAAGUACCGUGAGGGAAAGAUGAAAAGAACUUUGAAAAGAGAGUUAAAGAGUACCUGAAACUGUUGAAAGGGAACCGUAUCGUUUCUAGUGUGUAUCCUAUGCAUAUUUCAUUGGCGGUUGUAAAAUUGCUGGUGCCCUGUGUAUGGGUGUGACGACAGAGUCAGUUUGAAUUGCGGGAGAUGGGUAGUGAGGAGGUGCGUCACUUUUUGUGAAAGUUACAGCUCGCUAUCUAGUAGCCGUGGUUGAGACUGAGGUGCC
rnacentral:rRNA from 2 species